GGAGAGCGGAGCAAAAAUGGGCACACAGAGACGUUCUCAUGCCUGCGUUUCCACCUCUCCGCAUUCCUGUGCUCCCGGGCUUGCAGGUCAUCGUGGGGGCCCAGAAAAGGCAACAUCCUUUUGGGGCAGAGGAUCCCAGUUGUUGAAAACAGAAAGGUCAUAGCCAGCUCUUGGACCACCGAACUCUGGGUCCCAUUUGUGACUUCUGCUAAAUGUGGGGUGGAGUAACUUAUGUAACCUUGUCCCUCAUGUGAGAGCCCUUCCCUCCUAGGAGGGAAUCAUGUUUUAAAAAGCAUCCUCUUGCCAGCUCUGAAGGAUGGCUGGAUUUUCUUUUCCUUGGGCAACCUCUCUGACCCUUCUCAUUUACUUGGUUUUGUGCUGCUCAUUUUUUGUGUCUGUGACAAGUGCCUGGAUGAUUUUGGCCCUUUGCAUCCUUCCUCCCACUGUAUUGUAACCCCCGUUGGGCUCCAAGGCAGGCACUGUGCCCUUGCUUGGGCUGAUUUCUGUCUGUGCUGUUAGCAAAUACUUCACUGGCACAGCACUGGGCUGUUUCUAAUAGUCUUUGUUUCUCAGUUGGGGUGCAGCAGGUGGCUGAAACAAAUUUACAUCAUGCCAAAACAGAACAACAGCCGAGGAUAAAGUCUGAAACUCUUCUGUGCACCUAGAAGAAUCUUCAGAAAAUUGGCCUAAGUGUUCCUUGUAUUGUUGGGUAUCUGCAGCUGAAAAGGAGACUGAGACAAUUCCUUCCACCGUGGGAUCUCUCCCAAAAGCAGGCCAGGUUGUGAACUGGGAGAUAAGAGGCUACAGUCAGUGGGGUUUAAAGCUGUCUUGAGGUCAAAGGAGAAGGCUGAGGGCUUUAGGUUUCUCUGGGGAGCUGGCUGCAGAUGAGAUUUCUGAGUGACUUGUGGAAAGUGGUACCAGUACACUGACUUUGAGACUAUAAGGAACAGUUAAGAGAGUCACCCUUGGUAUCCUGAGAGACGUGAUGGACUAAGAGGAGAUCCUCAAUAAGAUCACUCUCUGGCUCAUGAAUUAUCUUACUUUUCUCUUUUGCCGGAACAACAUACCCAACACCCAAAAGUCAAGAAGGAAAGAUUUAUUUAUCUCACAGUUUGUGGAGGUUUCAGUCCAUAAUCAGCUAGUUCCAGAGUAGGGUGGCAGGGCAGAGGGCCAACACUUCAAGGCAUCAGAAGGCACAAAAGCAGCAAGAUCAGAAGCGGGGAAGACUAGCCUCUUUUCCUCCUUCAAAUUGUAAGCAGGCUACCAACCCUUAGGGCAAGUAUAGCAAUCACUUCCCUGCUGUUUGCAGAGGCUCAGAAUGUUUACAAAGUAAGGACCCUGGCUCCCAGCUGGAUUGUUUAGUUAAACUUCUAAACUUCUCAAAUUGACACAAUGUAUCAACCAUUACAGGAGCCUUUCAAAGCUAGUAUCUCUUGAUCCUCUGAAGAAGAAAAGUUUUUGAGAGAGAGCUAAGUAAAAACCUGAACCUGAGGGAUUUGGGACCGUUUUUUCCUUGCCUUUUGCUGAACAGAUCCAGUUAAAGAAUAGUAUUGUAAAAUAAAUAGCACUGUAAUUUGGAUGGCCAUUUUCUGCCAAGUGUUUUCCAUUCCCUACUUUGUACUGGCUCCAAGCUACAUUAAAAUAGGAAUAAACUGCUUUCCUCAGA